UUUGGUGGUGUUUGGUAAAUCUGUCAUCUUUUCAUUCGGCCAUAAACCAAAACAUCCGAAGUAUAAAACUAUGCCCACAUCAUCUUUAACGCCAGUUCAAAGCGUUAUGGAGAGGUUGUCGGAGUGGCCAAUCAGUAACUUUCCUCUUCAUCCCAAAGAACCAACGACAAGCUGGAUAAACCUGUUGCUGUUCCACCUGCUGCAACGGUUCCUUUCAGAAUAAAAGCUGAACCAUCAAGACCCAGUGUCACGGUCCGUGGUGAGCCUCCUGCAUGUAACCUGUUUUCUCUGAGUAUUGUUUCAGGUGGGCGUGUCUGAGAGCCACCAGCUGCAGCUGAUCUCAUCAUCAAGGCCCAGGGGAUUUAAGGAGCAGUGUGACACUUCACCACGCCGGAUGAUUGCUCAGUUUUGGGUAGCUCUAGCCUCUGACCCGUUUUUGAUCUUGUGUUUCUCUAGUUCCAGUCUGUGUACCAGAUCUUGUAUAUUAAUUGCUGGAUUUCCUGUCGACCAGAAAAGACCCUGACUACUCUUCCCUGCUCUACUCCAGGUUUCACUCCACACUCCACCACCUCCACACCAGCUCGGAUUCCUGCACUUCAGAUCACGCUGUCUCCUCCCCUGGCUGCCCGCUCUCAGCCGCUUACCUGCCCUCGCCAAGCCUCCGCUCCUACCUCCUCUCUGGUUCAACAGUUCCUUCUCCUCCUGGAGCCUUCCUGCUCACCCGGACCUGACCUAGCCCUUCCUGAGGCCCUCACCACUAUCAAAUCCUCUCCUGGAGUCUUUCUGCCAGCCUGCACGUCGUCUGUUCCCGUUCCUCUCAUUAAAUAAUAAAGAACGUUCUACUUA